AAGUAAUGAUGUUGGAAUAGGUUCAUCUAAAAACUAUCAGUUUUUAUCAUGAAACAGUUCCUCUCACUGUUCCUCCUGUAUCAGUGGUACCAGUAAUUGAUGGACAAAUAAUAUCAUUGAAUAUCAGUGUUAAUGUAAGCAAAAUAGUCAUAAUCAAUCAAUGAAUCAGGAGCCCAUGAAUUACACUUUAUAGUAACCAGUAUACCAACACAAGUUAAUGAUCAACUGAUGAUUACUGGAGUAAUAACUGUACCAAAUAAUUUAAAUACAUUUAUUGUUAAUGUAUAAUUGGGUAAUAACGGAGGAGAAUUUUUGCAUACACCUUUUGAAUUUGGUUAUCUUGGACCAGUUACUAACAUUAACUCAUCAAUUGACGACUGUUCUACAAUUGAUAUAACAUGGAUUGCUCCUACAGUUGAUGAUAGAGUAUC